GCCGAAGUGGCGGAACUGGAAUACGCGUACGGUUCAGAACCGUAUGUCUUUCGUGACUUGUGGGUUCAAAUCCCACCUUCGGCACCA
rnacentral:tRNA from 1 species